rnacentral:rRNA from 1 species
UCCUACGGGGCGCAGCAGUGAGGAAUAUUGGUCAAUGGCCGGGAGGCUGAACCAGCCAAGUCGCGUGAGGGAAGACGGCCCUACGGGUUGUAAACCUCUUUUGUCAGGGAGCAAGGUGCAGGUCGGGACCUGCUGUGAGAGUACCUGAAGAAAAAGCAUCGGCUAACUCCGUGCCAGCAGCCGCGGUAAUACGGAAGGUCCGGGCGUUAUCCGGAUUUAUUGGGUUUAAAGGGAGCGUAGGCCGGCUUUUAAGUCAGCUGUGAACGUCCGCGGCUCAACCGGGGAAUUGCAGUUGAAACUGGAGG